rnacentral:rRNA from 1 species
AGAGUUUGAUCCUGGCUCAGGAUGAACGCCAGCGGGAGGCCUAACACAUGCAAGCCGAGCGGUAGAGAUUCUUCGGAAUCUUGAGAGCGGCGUACGGGUGCGGAACACGUGUGCAACCUACCUUUAUCUGGAGGAUAGCCUUUCGAAAGGAAGAUUAAUACUCCAUAAUAUAUUUGAUGGCAUCAUUAAAUAUUGAAAGCUCCGGCGGAUAGAGAUGGGCACGCGCAAGAUUAGCUAGUUGGUGAGGUAACGGCUCACCAAGGCAAUGAUCUUUAGGGGGCCUGAGAGGGUGAUCCCCCACACUGGUACUGAGACACGGACCAGACUCCUACGGGAGGCAGCAGUGAGGAAUAUUGGACAAUGGGUGCAAGCCUGAACCAGCCAUCCCGCGUGAAGGACGACUGCCCUAUGGGUUGUAAACUUCUUUUGUAUAGGGAUAAACCUUCCCACGUGUGGGAACCUGAAGGUACUAUACGAAUAAGC